CUCGAACGAUUGCGUGGUCGCCUCCCACUCGCCCCCAUGUGGUCAAAAUGAAGAACAACACACCCCGUUUUUUACACGUUUCAAAUGAACAGCCAAUGAAACACCGGGAUGUUGGUACGUGGGGCGGCGUUCAAGACGAGCCAGUUGCUAGUGGCAGCUUCAGCUACACACCGAAACCGAGGUGAUGGAGGAAUUUGAAGGUGAGAGGGGAAGCAACGUUGCCCUAUUGUAGCAUAUGCCUCAAAGUAGCCAUGGCUUCCAUAUUGUAGCCAUAGGGCUACAAUACAGUAGCCAUGGCUACUUUGCAUAGCCAUUGCAAAUGUUCAAUUUCGUCACCUGUUCUUUCGGGAAGAGUUGGCUACUGAGGAUAACGCUAGCUCGGGAUGACUGGGCGUGAUGCUGUCUCUGUCCAUGUUAGCUAGAUUCGCUAGACUGAAGCUAAGGCUGCAGCUAGCAGGCUGGUAUACCUGUGUUUCUGUCCAGCCAAAGAAUACAAAAAAGGACAAAAGAAAUCGGAAUUAUUUAGCGAUUGAGGACUUUCGAAGUUUAACGCCACAUAUGAUGGAGAAGCUCCGGCGGCUGAGGAACUUACUCCCUGUAACAUCUGUGGAAGAAGCUUCUUUCCCAAAGUCUUGAAGAAACACAUUCCUAUAUA
ensembl:lncRNA